GAUUAUGGCUCAGGAUGAACGCUAGCUACAGGCUUAACACAUGCAAGUCGAGGGGCAGCAUGACCUAGCAAUAGGUUGAUGGCGACCGGCGCACGGGUGAGUAACACGUAUCCAACCUACCGGUUAUUCCGGGAUAGCCUUUCGAAAGAAAGAUUAAUACCGGAUAGCAUAGCGAGAAGGCAUCUUCUUGUUAUUAAAGAAUUUCGAUGACCGAUGGGGAUGCGUUCCAUUAGUUUGUUGGCGGGGUAACGGCCCACCAAGACAUCGAUGGAUAGGGGUUCUGAGAGGAAGGUCCCCCACAUUGGAACUGAGACACGGUCCAAACUCCUACGGGAGGCAGCAGUGAGGAAUAUUGGUCAAUGGACGAGAGUCUGAACCAGCCAAGUAGCGUGAAAAGGAUGACUGCCCUAUGGGCUGUAAACUUCUUUUAUAUGGGAAUAAAGUGAGCCACGUGUGGCUUUUUGUAUGUACCAUACGAAUAAGGAUCGGCUAACUCCGUGCCAGCAGCCGC
rnacentral:rRNA from 1 species